UUGUUCUAUAGACAUCAUUUC
rnacentral:piRNA from 1 species